CCUACGGGAGGCAGCAGUGAGGAAUAUUGGUCAAUGGGCGUAAGCCUGAACCAGCCAAGUCGCGUGAGGGAUGAAGGUUCUAUGGAUCGUAAACAUCUUUUAUAAGGUAAUAAAGUGUGGGACGUGUCCUGUUUUGUAUGUACCUUAUGAAACAGGAUCGGCUAACUCCGUGCCAGCAGCCGCGGUAAUACGGAGGAGCCGAGCGUUAUCAGGAUUUAUUGGGUUUAAAGGGUGCGUAGGCGGCCUUUUAAGUCAGCGGUGAAAGUCUGUGGCUCAACCAUAGAAGUGCAGUUGAAACUGGGAGGCUUGAGUAUGUUUGAGGCAGGCGGAAUGCGUGGUGUAGCGGUGAAAUGCUUAGAUAUCACGCAGAACCCCGAUUGCGAAGGCAGCCUGCCAAGCCAUGACUGACGCUGAUGCACGAAAGCGUGGGGAUCAAACAGGAUUAGAUACCCGAGUAGUC
rnacentral:rRNA from 1 species